AUGAACAUUUUCACUCAGGGUGAUCUCCAUCUCCAUGCUCAGGUCGGGAAGGGAGAUGGUUCCCUUCCCACUGUCCGCAUGCCUCAUCCUGACCCUACAAAUAAUUUAACCCCCUGGAUGUGUGGGUGGGGAGCUCUCAUAAGCUAGCCAUACACUUUCUCUCUCUCUCUCUCUCUCUCUCUGUUAGUUUCCUCAUCUGGAAAAAACACCACUAGGUUGUUGAAAAAUUUGGAGUUCGGGGCUUGAGUUUUCCAGGCUACAUACGCUAUGACUGACCUCGGACAAGUCAUUUCACCUCUCUGAGUCUCCUCAUCUGCAACAUGGGAAUAAAUACUAUCAUUCCUGUAUAAGAAAAUGUGUUCGGGAAAUGGGAAAGUACUAUACAAAUGAACAAUUGUUAUUAAUUUUAUACAUAGCAGAAGAUAUUUUCUCCUCCUUUGUAUCAAGGGGAUGGCAGAAGAAUAAAGUGAAGUGAUAGGCAUGUCACUGCCUUGGAAGGGAAAUUGUUCCAGUCCACAAGGGAUUCUUGUAUUGUGAUUAUUAAUAUAGUUCACCAAAUGGUCUUGGCUGGGAGCCUGAAGGUGUAGCAGCUGCAGGGACUUGAAGCUCUCCACCGCUGUGGCUCCUGCCUGCCUGCCUUCUCAAGACAGGUUUUCCCCUUCUCUAGGCUGGCGUUCCUCUGUCUCCCAGAAUCCAGCUCUGAUCGUCCUUUUCCCACAAGUUCUCCUGGAUGAUCCCCGCUCUUCCCGCACCCUAUGCCGCCCUUACUUUCUGGGUGCAGAUGUCAAGGACUAUUGAGUGCCAUCCUGGAGGGGUUUUAAUGAUCACCUCAUGAUUCUGCUGGUGGACAUACUAUUUUUUUUGAGCCCCCAUCAUGUGCCACGUACUGAAUUGGUGUGAAAGAGAUGAAUAAGACAUAUGAAGCUCUUGAUCUUGUGGAGAUGACAGUGGGGAGGAGACAGAGAUAACACACAAGGGAACAACCGGGGCAUAAAUCAGUUCUCUGGAGUGGGAUCGGAUCAAUGUUUUGUAAUUGGAUUCCAAAAAUGGAGAUGAGCCCCGGGGAGCCUGAGGACUGACCACCUUCAUAGGGGCUUGGCCCUGGUGGACCUGAGAGUGACGUGACCACCACAGGUGCCGUACUUUCCUCACCCUAGUCCUGGCCCUGGCUGAAAGACCAAUUAGACGCUAACUUUUGCUGAAUUCAGGCAUCAAAUGGAGCAGUGACAGCAGAAACACAGGAAACUGGUCAGCGCUGACGGGUUGUGCAGGAAGAGUCAUCAGGACUUGGUGACAUACUGGCCAUCAAGGAUAAGGGCAAGGGACAGCUUUGAGCCAUGAGGUGACCAUGAGGAUGGUGACACCCUGACAGGAACAAGCGUUCAGAAAUGGUUGAAUAAUCAUCCUUUGUAACCUAGUUCAUGGAGGAUUUUUUUGAAUGUUUCAGGUGAGUUAAAAAAUAACAUACUCCUCAUGUCUUAAGUCUAGUCCUUUA